rnacentral:misc_RNA from 1 species
AACCCAGACUAAAAAUUUCAUUAGGCCUAUUAUAGUGUUUAGUUUGGCUAAUAAAAUAUAAUUUAGCAACUGCAAACCUACAUUACAUCUUUAUAAAGGUCAAGUUACUUAACAAAUACAGAAGAACUCAACAAUAGGACUUGUGAUAAUGAUCUUCAAAAGGCCAGAGAAGCUCUUAUUUUAGAAGAGAGAUGGAAGACAUGCUUCCUUCUAGUUUGUGUUGGGGGCAAUACUUAAACAAAAAUCAUAGUUAGAACAGCUCAUUGUGACAAGACAAAUAAAGAAUAAAUUAGCUUACCAUUAAUCAAACCCCCAGAUGAAGAAUAUGGCUUACUCAUUAUCACAUUUUAACAUGUAGAGGAGCACAACACUGAGAAAUCAUUAGCAAGCAUGCUGUGGCCCUCAUGCCAACUUUAAAGGCUAACCAUAAAAAACAUAUAAAUC